rnacentral:rRNA from 1 species
CCAGACUCCUACGGGAGGCAGCAGUGGGGAAUAUUGCGCAAUGGGGGAAACCCUGACGCAGCAACGCCGCGUGAGUGAGGAAGUAUCUCGGUAUGUAAAGCUCUAUCAGCGGGGAAGAAAGAGGACGGUACCCGACUAAGAAGCCCCGGCUAACUACGUGCCAGCAGCCGCGGUAAUACGUAGGGGGCGAGCGUUAUCCGGAUUUACUGGGUGUAAAGGGAGCGUAGACGGCGUCGCAAGUCUGAAGUGAAAGCCCGGGGCUCAACUCCGGGACUGCUUUUGAAACUGUGUGACUGGAGUGCAGGAGAGGUAAGCGGAAUUCCUGGUGUAGCGGUGAAAUGCGUAGAUAUCAGGAGGAACACCAGUGGCGAAGGCGGCUUACUGGACUGUAACUGACGUUGAGGCUCGAAAGCGUGGGGAGCAAACAGGAUUAGAUACCCGCGUACA